AUAAUCUGCUGGAGUAUAUGAAAGGCACAGACCUGAAGAUCCAAAGCUGCAGGAUGGCCAUGGAAGGCUCCUGAUUUUUGAACUAAUUUUAUAUCCAUCCAGUGCCUGAUAAAUACAGAAGUGGAUGCUCACAGCUGUGCAUGGGGUCUCCAAUGGAUGAGCUAGAAGAAAGGACUAAAGGAGCUGAAGGAGCUUGCACCUCCAAGGGAGGAACAACAAUAUGCAUCAACCAGUACACCCCAAAACUUCCAGGGACUAAACCACCAACCAAAGAGUACACAUGGAGGAAUCGAUGGCUCCAGCUGCAUAUGUAGCAGAGGAUGGCCUUGUUGGACAUCAAUGUGAAGAGAGAGACCCUUCACUGCUCGAUGCCCCAGUGUAGGGGAAUAACAGGAAAUGGGAGCUGGAGUGGGUGGGUUCAUGAGCAGGGAUAGGGUGAAUGGGAUAGUGCACCUAUAAGAAACAAGACAGAAGAGAUUGGCUAUGCCAAAGCCUAAAGACAUCGAAAAUUUUUGAGUCAAAUUGCAUCAAGACAACCUGUUUAUUAUACAUAUGGUCAAUAGUUGAACAGUAAAAAGAACAGUUUAAAGGGAUGUUGGAUCAAGCAAGGACGUUGGCAUUUAAAGUGCCAUGUUCAUAAAGAGAAUGCAAAAAAGGUGA